UACGUAGGGGCCUAGCGUUGUCCGGAUUUAUUGGGCGUAAAGAGCGUGUAGGCGGCCAGACAGGUCUGCUGUGAAAACUCGAGGCUCAACCUCGAGACGCCGGUGGAAACCGUUUGGCUAGAGUCCGGAAGAGGAGAGUGGAAUUCCUGGUGUAGCGGUGAAAUGCGCAGAUAUCAGGAAGAACACCCGUGGCUAAGGCGGCUCUCUAGUACGGUACUGACGCUGAGACGCGAAAGCGUGGGGAGCGAACAGG
rnacentral:rRNA from 1 species